UGGCGGACGGGUGAGUAACGCGUGGGUAACCUGCCUCACACUGGGGGACAACAGUUAGAAAUGACUGCUAAUACCGCAUAAGCGCACAGGACCGCAUGGUCUGGUGUGAAAAACUCCGGUGGUGUGAGAUGGACCCGCGUUUGAUUAGCUAGUUGGUGGGGUAACGGCCUACCAAGGCGACGAUCAAUAGCCGACCUGAGAGGGUGACCGGCCACAUUGGGACUGAGACACGGCCCAA
rnacentral:rRNA from 1 species